rnacentral:rRNA from 1 species
AAUUUUAAGGUCAAGCUACAAAGGGCGCAUGGUGAAUGCCUUGGCACUAGGAGCCGAAGAAGGACGCGAUAAGCUGCGAUAAGCCUUGGGUAGCCGCAAAUAGGCUGAGAUCCAGGGAUUUCCGAAUGAGGAAACUCACAUGGGUAACCCCAUGUAUCAUGCACUGAAUACAUAGGUGUAUGAGGGUAAACCCGGGGAACUGAAACAUCUAAGUACCCGGAGGAAGAGAAAGAAAAAUCGAUUUCCUAAGUAGCGGCGAGCGAACGGGAAAGAGCCCAAACCAGAAACUUGUUUCUGGGGUUGUGGAUAGAUCAUGAAAGAAGAGGUAUCUUAAUCGAAGAGGGCUGGAACGCCCUACCAUAGAAGGUAAUAGUCCUGUAGAUAAAAAGAGAAAACUUUAAGAUCUAAUCCAGAGUACCACGAGACACGUGAAACCUUGUGGGAAGCAGGGAGGACCACCUCCCAAGGCUAAAUACUACCUAGUGACCGAUAGUGAAGCAGUACCGUGAGGGAAAGGUGAAAAGAAC